UGAAAGAGAUUAAAGAUUUAUCGGUGAUGGAUGGGGAUGCGUCUGAUUAGCUUGUUGGCGGGGUAACGGCCCACCAAGGCGACGAUCAGUAGGGGUUCUGAGAGGAAGGUCCCCCACAUUGGAACUGAGACACGGUCCAAACUCCUACGGGAGGCAGCAGUGAGGAAUAUUGGUCAAUGGACGAGAGUCUGAACCAGCCAAGUAGCGUGCAGGAUGACGGCCCUAUGGGUUGUAAACUGCUUUUAUAAGGGAAUAAAGUGAGUCUCGUGAGACUUUUUGCAUGUACCUUAUGAAUAAGGACCGGCUAAUUCCGUGCCAGCAGCCGCGGUAAUACGGAAGGUCCGGGCGUUAUCCGGAUUUAUUGGGUUUAAAGGGAGCGUAGGCCGGAGAUUAAGCGUGUUGUGAAAUGUAGACGCUCAACGUCUGCACUGCAGCGCGAACUGGUUUCCUUGAGUACGCACAAAGUGGGCGGAAUUCGUGGUGUAGCGGUGAAAUGCUUAGAUAUCACGAAGAACUCCGAUUGCGAAGGCAGCUCACUGGAGCGCAACUGACGCUGAAGCUCGAAAGUGCGGGUAUCGAACAGGAUUAGAUACCCUGGUAGUCCGCACGGUAAACGAUGGAUGCCCGCUGUUGGUCUGAAUAGGUCAGCGGCCAAGCGAAAGCAUUAAGCAUCCCACCCGGGGAGUAC
rnacentral:rRNA from 1 species